GUCAGUACAAGGAUAUCAGUGGAGCACGUGAACUGUCCAUUAGUUAUUUCUCACUGUUACCACAUGACCAUACAUAUAUUUCAGGACACCCUUUAGAGGAUUUAUGCUGCAUAAUUCUUUGUUUCCAAUGUGUGGCAGCCUGUUCAACUUCAUCAGUUCAUUGUCCAUUAGGUAGUUUUCAACUUUGAUUUUUCAAAGACUGUAGUAUUUCAUAACUACAUCACAUCACUCAAAGAAUACUGAUACCAAAAAAAAAUGGGCCCUCUGAUUCUGAGAGAAGCUUGGGGUCCUUAAAGAGAAUUGUUAUUCCCUACUCUGUCUUUCUUUUUUAGUUCUAGACUCCUAUUUACAAAAUACGUGUACAUAUGUACAUCAAAGGAAUGACUGAAAAAGCAUGUAUUAUGUACCUACUAAAUGCUUUAUAUAAAAAUAUAAAAGUAAAGACAAUACCUAUCCUCAAAGAGUUUAUGUUCUAAUAAGGAGAGACAACACACUUAGGAAAGUAAUGAUCAAUGAGGGCCAUUUUGAUUCAGAAAAUUAAAGGAAUAGUGAGUGAGGCCAUAGAAGAGUAGAAUGACAAACAUCCCAUUCAGGAACAAAUGGCAGAAUUCUAGAACUGGAGGUUGGGGAGUAGGAGGAGGAGAAAGGCAGGCGGAUCAAUGAGGACAGAAGGGCCCCAUGGCAGAAGUUUUGAGACAUGGUCUCUGAUGUAGGCAAUAAAUCAGUUGGCCAGGCUAUGAAGAAGAUGGCCAAAAACAAGGGAGUGGACAAACUUCACAGGGGAGAGUUGGGAGGCAAGGAGAGAAUCUGGAAUUCGGACUUCUAAAAACAAAUGUUAAAAGUUGUUUUU